CAGCAGCGCGGUAACACGAAGGGUGCAAGCGUUACUCGGAAUUACUGGGCGUAAAGCGUGCGUAGGUGGUGGUUUAAGUCCGUUGUGAAAGCCCUGGGCUCAACCUGGGAAUUGCAGUGGAUACUGGGUCACUAGAGUGUGGUAGAGGAUAGUGGAAUUUCCGGUGUAGCAGUGAAAUGCGUAGAGAUCGGAAGGAACAUCUGUGGCGAAGGCGACUAUCUGGGCCAACACUGACACUGAGGCACGAAAGCGUGGGGAGCAAACAGGAUUAGAUACCCCCGUAGUCCCUGUCUCUUAUACA
rnacentral:rRNA from 1 species